CAAGGAACCCUGGGGACCUCCAGCCAAGAUCCAGAAAGAAGCCUGUGCCUUCAGCCACGGAUCCUCAAAUAAAAGAAUUCUGCCAACAACCCCAAUGAGCUUGGAAGCAAAUUUUUCCCAGCCAAGUCUCCAGAGGAGAAUGCAGACCAACUAACAUCUUGGUUGCAACAUCUUGACUCCACAGGCAGAACACUCAGGGAUCAAACUUGGAACCUUGUGCUUGCAAGGCAGGCAGCAGAACCACUGAGUUAAAUCCCCAGCCCUGAGAAAAACGGAUGGCUCUGGACAUCAUCAUGUUGAGA
ensembl:lncRNA